AUUUGAGUUUCCUGGAUUUGAGUGUUCAUUUUGUUUCACAGAUAUGGGAAGUUUUCAGCUGUCUGGGGGUUUUUCAUAUAUGCUUUCUGGUUCUCCUUCUCCCCGCUCUCUCUCUCCUCUCUCCUCCCCCUGGAAAAUCUCUUGAUGUGAAUAUAGGUCUGCUUGAUGGUAUCAAAUAAGUUCCUUCAGCUUUCUUCAUGCCUUUUUUUUUAUUAUCGUUUUCUCUUUCGCUCCUUUGACUGAAUAAUUUUACAUGGCCAGUCUUUGACUUCACUGAUUCUUUCUUCUGCUUGAUCUAGUCUGCUGUUGAAGCUCCCUAGUAAAUGUUUUAGUGCAGUUAAUGUACCGUUAAGCUCCAGGAUCUCUGUUUGGUACCCUUUAAUAUUUUCUAUAUCUUUAUUGAAAUUCUCAUUUUGUUCAUGCAUUCUUUUGUUAACCUUGGUGAACAUACUUUAUGGCAGUUAUUUUACAUUCUCCAUCAGGUAUAUCAUAUAACUCAGUUUCCUCUGGGUCAGCUUCUGGAGCUGUAUUUUGUUCUUUUGUUUGGAACAUAUUUCUUGUUUCUUCAUUUUCCCUGACUCUAUGUUGGAGUCUUACACAUUAGACAAAACAGCCACCUCUUUCAUAUUGGCCUCAUACAGGAGAAGACCCUCACGAAUCAGCCUUGCUAGGGAUUCUAGGAGCCUUUUUAACCUUCGUGCACAUUCAAUCCCCUUUCUUUGUUCUUAGCAGCCCCCAGGCAUCUAGAGUGCACUAAGUCCUGUCAGCACUUCAAGAGAAGUGGUACUGAAGUCACUUCCACGGACAGGCUCCAGAAAAGUUGGAUCAUUGGACACUCUGUCAAACUGUUUCUCUUCCCUGGGAGGAUCUAAGAUCUGGGUUUUUGUUUUGUUUUGUUUUUUGUUUUCCUCUUUGCUGAUCCAGAGAAGGGGCUAUGAGAAGUAGAUAAAUGCUAGUUCGAACCAUCAUCUGUGUCCUCACUUGACCCCCAGCUGGGGUUGCCAUCAGCACUCAAGACAGGCGAGACAGAAGUCAGUCCUCUGGGUAGUCCCAAGAAAAUUGGGGUCAUUGGACAUGAGAUCCACUUGUUUUCACCUCCAGAAGAAGCUUGAAGGGAGAAGCUUGGAGCUAGGACUUUACCUCCCAAGUCUAUGGAGCUCUGACAGAGGUGUAUGGGGGGGACUUGGAAUCUGCAGUAAGAAAGAGAGGAAAGAUGGAAGUUCCUCCCUCACAAAUAUCCCACCUCUUCUGCAUGCAUCUCCAAGAAGACCUUCUGUUUCACAAGUCACCCUUCCAGCAAUGGGACGAGUAAUGGUCUUUGGCAGUUCAGUCUGGAAAAGUAAACGCUAUUUACCCAAAAGACAGUAAUUUUAAACUCCCCUUUCGGAUGGUCUCCAGUGAGAAAUGAAGCUGAGGAGGUGGAGAGGACAGGAGGGGCUGUUCCUCCAGCUGUUGGAAGCAAUCUUGGCUUGGAGAAGAAUGUCUGAUCCAACCAUAGCACACUGGAAACGUUGGAGCCGUCAGUAUCCGGGGAGCAAUUCCAGAGAAGGCCUAACUUCCAACAGCCCAGGCUUUUCAUGAACUAUUCUGGUCGUUGUUUCUCUGUUUAGGGAGUUCCCUUUGGCAGGAGCUGCGAUUUACACAACAGAAGGUGACACCACUGGCAGCGGAGCAUGCCUCUUCGAAUCCCCUACCCGGGCAGUGCUCAGCUCCUUCUUCUGCUUCAUGCUCCAAAGCUAGGAACCCACUGAAAACCCCUGCUAUGCAAGCCCUUUUAUUUAGAUUCAGGCGGCUUUAUUUUCACUUCCUUCCCUUCGAAAUGCAGGAUACUCUUUCUCAAAGGCAGAUUAGAUGUUCAACACUCUGACUACAUUCAACUAAAACCCCAGGUGAUCCCCAUUAAAAACCAGUCAGGCUUUGGGGGAGAUGCCAGAGGGGGUGUUGUUGUGACUUGUUCUUUCUGGAAGCCUAAGCCAGUGUCUGGUCUCUUCUAUGUCUGGUGUGGCCCAGCUGGUGAGGGGGCCUCUGCCAAGCACUGAGAAGUUAGCAUAUUACAUCCUUAUUACAUUCAACUAUCUCUCUCUCUCUCUCUUUUUUUUUUUUUUCGGUCAUGCAACUUGAGUGUGUUUGGGACUAAGGCCUUGAGUUUCUGCAUUCUGUGUCUUCUAUCAGCUGCUUUCACUCUCACAUUUGUGACACCCAAUAUUGCAACUGGGGCCUCCAGGGUGAGACUGUGCAUCCCUAGGAAGCACUGUUGUGAUGGAGCCAAAAGGCCUGUGUCUUCCGGGGACAUGAACUUCCCAGCCGAGUGUUACCACAGCCAGUAACAGACGUAAAACUCAUCUCUUCCCUCUAGGGUCCAGCAAAAAAGCAAAAAUCCCAGAAGCUGAGCUGCCUUUUCACCCAGCCCAGCUAGAAUAGACUGCUGUGCUCAAAUAGACAGAGGACUCCAUGGAAAAUGUGUUUCCCAGUCCUUUCUCUCCUAAUAUCCCUAACAGGAGAGAGAUCACGCGUCCACAUGCAUAGAGGCAGAGAAAGAAAAGGAAAGAAAAAAGGUGAUAUUUUAUUUUGCAAGUUCUACUGCAGCCAAAUUGUUCCCCUUUUAAGAAGUUGGGGAAAGUCAGGAAAGUGAGAGUAGAGAAAGAGCAUUUAUUGAGUGCCAAUUAUUUAUUCAUCAAUUAUUAGGUGUUUGCCCUGUACUAGGUAGCGUGCUUCAUGUAUGUUUCAGGGAUUUAAUGGUGAUUAUAUAUCUAAUCUUUAAAAUAACUAUAUAUUUUUGUCUUGGGGCAAGGCUGAUUAUAACCUCUACUUUUACAGAUGAGAAAACUGAGGCCUCUUUCAGGUUGCACAACUUGCAUGUGGCAGAGCAAAACUCUGAAGCCAGGUGCAUUUUGACUCCAGAGCCUGUGCAGUUGCUACCCACUCUGAUCCUCUUACAGGGUCAUGUGAAAUGAUGUGGAAUAAUUAAGUUUAUUAUAUCAUGGCAUUGAAAUACCAAUUAAACACUAAAAUCAUGAUGAUAAUAUAAUUCCAAAGAAAAACUUGGUGUUAGGGUUAUGGGCAGUUUAUGUGUUCAACAAUUACAUACUUUUUGAUAUUGAUAUACAAGUAAAAUAAAGGAAAAAUAUUGUAUUAAUAACGUUUGCUGUGGAUCUGCUUCUGGGAGGGAAAGAACUGCUUUAAGUAGCCUUGGUACUAAGACAAUAAACCACGGAGAGCCAAGAACACAUAGCCUCAUGCAUAGUAACAAAAUCAUCUCAUCCAAAAGGAUGAUCAAAUCAAUACUAACUAUAGGAAUAUUUCUAAAUUUG
rnacentral:lncRNA from 10 species